UUCUCAAUCAUAACACAUCCAUCCCCACACACCUUCUUUCCCCACUCUCUGCUUCUCUGUCUUUCACAAACGCGCACAUAAAAACACACACCAAAUAUUUUUUCACACUUCCCAUAAUCCAUCUUUUCUUCAUUAUUCUAAACUGUCACUAAUCCCACUCCACUUCACUGGUUUUUCCCGACCAGAAUAGUCCCAUCUUAACCAUUCACAUUUUUCUUCAAGGAAUUCUCCUCUUUGAUCUGCCUAUAAAUCUACUAAGCAAACACCAAGGACAGUCACAAUUUCUUUUUUAAAAAAAUGUCAAUGGACAUGAUGGCAACCGAACGUGUUUGUUAUGUUCACUGCAACUUCUGCAACACCACUCUAGCGGUCAGUGUUCCAUGCAGCAGUAUGCUCACCAUUGUUACGGUUAGAUGUGGACACUGUGCCAAUCUGCUAUCAGUUAACAUGGGAGCAUCACUUCAACCUUUUCCUUCUCAAGAAACUCAGCAUCUUUCUACCGUUGCUAAGUUACAGAGACAGCACCUGAGCGUUCAAGAAGCAUGCAGCAAGGAACUGGGAUCAUCUUCAAAAUGCAAAUCAUUUGAGUCCGUAGACCAUGAGCAACCUAGGAUUCCUCCAAUUCGUCCUCCAGAGAAGAGACAGCGUGUUCCUUCGGCUUAUAACCGGUUCAUUAAAGAGGAAAUACAAAGAAUUAAGGCCAGUAAUCCAGAUAUCAGCCACAGAGAAGCUUUUAGCACGGCUGCAAAAAACUGGGCACAUUUCCCUCACAUUCACUUUGGGUUAAAGCUGGAUGGCAAUAAGCAAGCAAAGUUGGACCAGGGAGAUGCUACUCAAAAGUCUAACGGAUUUUACUGAUUACAUAUAAAUGGAAGUUUAUGUUAUCAGCUGUUUUUUUCUGUGUUUGACCUAAAUCAGUGAAAAAAGAGGUUGAUGAUAUGAUUGCUAUUCUUGUGAUUGCAUUAAUUACUGUGUUGAACUUAGGCAAUUAUUAAGAAAACAAACAUUGUAAGUUUAAUUCUGCUAUAAUAACGCGUCCUUUUGUUUUGUAAUAA